rnacentral:tRNA from 1 species
GGAGAGAUGGCAGAGUGGCCGAAUGCACCGGUCUUGAAAACCGGAGAGGAGCAAUCCUUCGGGGGUUCGAAUCCCUCUCUCUCCGCCA